CCGGCUAGCACUUUGGAUGAGGGUGGUAGGAGUGGUUUAUUUACAAAGGCAUUGACUCCUAUAAUGUGGAUUUUGUAUUUCCAAUAAUCCUUGGGGGGGGGGGCCCUAGAUGGGUAGAUUAAGCCGGUUUUGGGACGCUGAGCCUAAGUAAGGACGGGACCCCAUCAUUAAAAUCUAAACUAUUUUGUAAUAUUUUGUAACUUUCGCAAUUUUUGGUUAAUUUUUAAUCUGAUACACGUGAAAAUUACCCUUUUGUAUUCCCCCUGUAACUGCAAAGAAGAAUAAUGUGGUUUUACAUAUGCAGCCCUAUAUGCAAAUUAACUGACAAACUAUAAAAGGUUAAUUAGACGAGGAAUUUUAAGGCUGUUGGAUCUUAACCCUCUAUGGCGAAGAGGUUAGUGUAAUUAAAAGGGCGACAGAUCCUGUUCACCGGGGAGUAGCAGCUGGAGGAAGAGUUUAUCUAGUAUUUUAUCAGCAGGCAGUAAUCAUUUACACGGGCGAUCAAUAAUAACCAGCAGAAGCGAUAACCUGGCCUUGUAAAAAAAAUAAAUAAAUCUGCUACGAAAAGAAGAAUUUUGGGGUCACUUCAAGGUAAAUUAUAAUUGGAGGUGAAAACCUUAUUCCUCCGGCGCUCUGUUGAACUCGCUCAGUUUCUGCUGUGAAUUAAAUGUAACGGAUUUACCGGAUGGAAACAUCUUCUGUGUUGUUCUAGAACAAGUUCGAAAGCGGUGGCCUUGUAAAGUAACCCCGGAGGUAAUCCCGAAAGUAACGGGAACAGAACGGAAUGUAACGGGAAGCUUGAGAGUGAAUGUUAUGUUAAGAAUGGAAUAUCUUGUAUUUUAGCUAAAUUAUGGUAAUUCCAAUCCCUACCAUCCAAAGCAAGAACAGACGGUGGGAGCUUUGGUGGAAAAGACCAAAAAAGAGGGACUUAAAUGGCAGUCGGCAUGUAUAAUCCGAGGGGUUCCUGCAUUGAGUUUGUACCUAAGGCAGGUUUUUGCAAAGAUGAAUGAAGAAGUUGGCCUUUCCUUUGGCCAGGACUAUGCUAUUUGCAGUCAUUGGUGACUUUGUGUGGACCAACAAUCAUCUAGCGUUGCGUAAAUAAAGAGGACCAAAACCGACCAAUGGGAUUCCAUCUGAUGUGACCCAAUACCUGCAGCUGUGUUAUGCAGUCAUCAAUGACAUAAUCCCCCCUUCUGGGUAAUUAUGGACACUAAAGGAUGUUUUCCUCUGCUGCCCCCUAGUGGUAGUACCGAGACUCGCAGCUAUUACCGGACUGCUUCUGUUCAUAGAAGUGUAUUCUGACGCGCACGGCCAUAACGCUGCCUUAUAUGUAGCUCUGUUUGGAAUCGAGAUAUUUUUGUAAACUUUUAAUUAUACCAGGCACAUAUGUAAUAAAUAGUUAUCUAUGACACGCAAAAGAAAUGUAAAUUACUACGUGUUUAAUAAACGGCUUUCCCAAGUA